AGAGAAUCCUGGCAUGCUGCAGUCCACGGGGUCACAAAGAGUCGGACAUGAUGGAGCGGCUGAACAAGACAAGAUACCUGUUCCUCCUGAGGCCUUUUAUCACAUUCAUUUGUGUACCUGCCUUAUCUCCUUUAUGAUUGUGAGCUCUUUGAAGGAUUGUGUUCAUCUUUGAAUCCUCAAUUAACCUUAGUCAUCAAAUAAAAGAUUUUAGAUUUGAAGCAUUUCAG